rnacentral:rRNA from 1 species
GACGUAGGUGGCGAACGUUAUCCGGAAUUAUUGGGCGUAAAGGGUGCGUAGGCGGCAUGAUAAGUUAUUGGCGGCAAAUCGAGGCUCAACCUCGUGGAAACUGAUAAUACUGUCUUGCUUGAGUGCAGAAGAGGUUAACGGAACUCCAUGUGGAGCGGUAAAAUGUGUAGAUAUAUGGAAGAACAUCAAUAACGGCGAAGGCAGUUAACUAGUCUGUUACUGACGUUGAGGCCCGAAAGCGUGGGGAGCAAAACGG